rnacentral:rRNA from 1 species
CGACUUCUCGACUGUCUCAACCAUAGACUCGGCGAAAUUGCACUACGAGUAAAGAUGCUCGUUACGCGCGGCAGGACGAAAAGACCCCGGGACCUUCACUACAACUUGGUAUUGGUGUUCGGUACGGUUUGUGUAGGAUAGGUGGGAGACUGUGAAACCUCAACGCCAGUUGGGGCGGAGUCGUUGUUGAAAUACCACUCUGAUCGUAUUGGACACCUAACGUCGAACCGUAUAUCCGGUUCACGGACAGUGCCUGGCGGGUAGUUUAACUGGGGCGGUUGCCUCCUAAAAUGUAACGGAGGCGCCCAAAGGUUCCCUCAACCUGGACGGCAAUCAGGUGUUGAGUGUAAAUGCACAAGGGAGCUUGACUGCGAGACCUACACGUCAAGCAGGGACGAAAGUCGGGAUUAGUGAUCCGGCACCCCCGAGUGGAAGGGGUGUCGCUCAACGGAUAAAAGGUACCCCGGGGAUAACAGGCUGAUC